rnacentral:rRNA from 1 species
GCACCAGACUCCUACGGGAGGCAGCAGUGAGGAAUAUUGGUCAAUGGCCGAAGGGCUGAACCAGCCAAGCCGCGUGAAGGAAUAAGGCCCUACGGGUCGUAAACUUCUUUAGUCAGGGAACAAAGGGAGCCACGCGUGGCGCUGUGAGUGUACCUGAAGAAUAAGCAUCGGCUAACUCCGUGCCAGCAGCCGCGGUAAUACGGAGGAUGCGAGCGUUAUCCGGAUUUAUUGGGUUUAAAGGGUGCGUAGGCGGGAUGCCAAGUCAGCGGUAAAAAUGCGGUGCUCAACGCCGUCGAGCCGUUGAAACUGGCGUUCUUGAGUGGGCGAGAAGUAUGCGGAAUGCGUGGUGUAGCGGUGAAAUGCAUAGAUAUCACGCAGAACUCCGAUUGCGAAGGCAGCAUACCGGCGCCCUACUGACGCUGAGGCACGAAAGCGUGGGGGGCAAACAGGAUUAGAUACCCGGGUA